rnacentral:rRNA from 1 species
AUGAGCUUGCACAAACAUAUAUUUGACAUUUGGGUACCAAAACAGCACAUGAGCUUGGGCACACAUAAAUUUGAGUUUCAAAAAGCAAAAACAGCACAUACACAAGCUUGCACAAAUAUAUAUUUUGCACGUACAUACCUGCGAAGAUGUAGCCUCCCUCUCAUAGUAGUUUGCAGAGCCGGAGGCAACGGCGAUUCCGGCACGCACGCCAGCGCCGGUGGGGUUAGGGAGACGUCAAGGCGGAGGUUUCUUUUUUACCCUAUACAACAACUCAGCGAUUGGGACAUUGCUGGAAUCAUUUGUCAGCUUCCUCGGCAGCCGUGUAGUAGCUGCUGCAUUGCCCUUCCCAUUCCCCUUCUGCAUCCCCGAGCUCGGCAACUUUCUCUUCAUAAUGGAGUCCAACGUCCUCUCUUUCUCCUUCUCCUUCCCACUCGCCUUCCCCUUUUGCUUGUCCAUUGUUGCGACGAUAGGCGUCUGCUCCGGCUCGUCACGUUCCGCGAGAAACCAGGGGAGGCGCGUCCGACUAUGUCCGGUGUGGCGAGGAACGGUCGCGCCGCCCGUCGCCGUCGGUGCCGAGUUGGCGAGGAAGCGCGGCGUCGCUCGUCGCCGUCGAUCCAGAUUUGCAGCGUGGCGAGAGAGAGGUGA